ensembl:snoRNA snoZ196 Small nucleolar RNA Z196/R39/R59 family
CUGACUGGCUACAUGAUGAAUAAAAUCAAAUCACCAUCUUUCGGCUGA